ACGCAGACUGCCACAGAAGAGAAAGAAACCAAGAGCAAAGCAACAGCAUCCGUGUCCACUCAGACUGCCACAGAGGAGAAAGGAACCAAGAGCAAAACAACAGCGUCCAUGUCUACGCAGACUACCACAGAGGAGAAAGGAACCAAAAGGGCCAUGAGCACCUCCACACAAACAGUCACCGAACCAGAGCAGCCUAAACCGGUAGAAGUUGCCCCCAUUCAGAAAAAGAAAUCAAAAAGCAAAUCAGUCCGCAUAGUGACUGAUGAGGGUGAGGCAGGACCUUCACACGCAGCGGAGGAGACAGAACCAGAGAUUAUCACUCGCUCUCUAUCCCUAGGUGAGCUGCGUGACCUGCGGAGGGAAUUCACCCGCCAGACGAACGAGUCCAUCCUAACCUGGCUGCUCCGCAUCUGGGACGCUGCAGCAAACGACACCAUCCUGGAUGGAAGUGAGGCCAGGCAACUGGGAUCGCUGUCCCGGGAUGUGGUCAUUGACCAGGGGAUUGGGAGAACCCAAGAAACUCUCAGCCUCUGGAGGCGACUGCUGACAAGUGUAAGGGACAGAUACCUCUGCAAAGAAGACCUCCAGGUGCACCAGGGAAAAUGGAGCACAAUGGAACAGGGUAUCCGAUGCCUGAGGGAGUUGGCUGUGCUGGAGAUCAUUUUUGCAGAAGAUGAGAGAUUUCCUAAGAGCCCAGAUGGUGUCCAGUGCACGUCACAGAUGUGGCUGAGAUUUGCACGGCUUGGACCAGAGAUGUACUCCCGUUACCUGGCAACACUGCAAUGGAGGGAAGGUGAGGACAGGGUGGGUGUCCUGGCCAAUAAACUAAGAAUCUACGAGGACACUGUCACUGCCCCGUUUCGCACCCAUGUCUCAUCUGUGGAAACAAGGCUGGCUGAGCAAGUCCGGAGCUUGAUUGAAGAGGGCCAUCAGAAACUAAAAAAGGAACUUAAAGAAGAAAUUUACCACGUCUCCCCAGAACCAACAAGAGUCUCUGCUAUUAGGAGUAGGCAUUCCCCAGCCAGGGAGAAAGGAUACACUCCACGAGGUAACCUCUGGUUUUUUCUCCAGGAGCAUGGAGAAGACAUGAGGAAGUGGGAUGGAAAACCCACCUCCUCCUUAGCAGCCCGGGUACGUGAACUAAAAAGAGGGACAACUACCACAAGGAGCUCAUCUAGAGCCAGCGCCGCUCCGGUCUCUCGUAGCCAGAACAUCAGAAGGUAUAGAAAUGAUGAUAUGAGUGAUCCUCUUGAAGGGACAUCAAGAGCAUAUUCACCGGAGGAGAGCAACGUGCACCAUGACCAGGAUUAGAGGGUCCCUGCCUCUAGCCAGGUAGAGGAGAGGGACAACCGGAUCUAUUGGACAGUGUGGAU
rnacentral:lncRNA from 1 species